rnacentral:lncRNA from 1 species
UUCUUUCUAUCCAUGAGCAUGAAAUGUUUCUCCAUUGUUUGUGUCCUCUCUGAUUUUCUUGAGCAAUGGUUUGUAUUUCUCCUUGAAGAGGUCCUUCACUUCCCUUGUUAGCUGUAUUCCUAGGUAUUUUAUUCCGUUUGCAGCAAUUGCGAAUGAGAGUUCAUUCAUGAUUUGGCUGCUUGUCUAUUGUUGGUGUAUAGGAAUGCUUGUUAUUUUUGCAGAUUGAUUUUGCAUCCUGAGACUUUGCUGAAGUUGCUUAUCAGCUUAAAAAGCUUUGGGGCUGAGAUGAUGAGGUUUUCUAGAUAGAGGAUCAUGUCAUCUGCAAACAAAGACAAUUUGACUUCCUCUGUUCCUAUUUGAGUACGCUUUAUUUCUUUCUCUUGCCUGAUUGCCCUGGCCUGAACUUCCAAUACUAUGUUGAAUAGGAGUGGUGAGAGAGGGCAUCCUUGUCUUCUGCCGGUUUUCAAGGGGAAUGCUUCCAGGUUUUGCCCAUUCAGUAUGAUAAUGGCUGUGGGUUUGUCAUAAAUGGCUCUCAUUAUUUUGAGGAGUAGCUGUGCUACAGGCCUUCUAGGUGCUACAGGCUGCAACAGAGGGGGCCUAUUGAGGAGUGAUAUGUGUGAGAAGAUCAGAAGAUUGAGAAGAUUAGAAAAAUGGAGAAAAGCAUAAAGAAGAAAAGAAAACUUGUCUGGUCUCCCGCCACCCCGAGUUGUGGAUCCUAUCCAGAAUUCAACAUUACAUUUAAUCAUAAUUUGUCCUUGGGCUUCUCUCGGCCGUGACAGUUUCUCCAACUUUCCUUGUUUUUGAUGACCUUGAUGAUUUUGAGGAGUGAUGGUCAGGUGUCUGGGGAUGUGUCUGAUGAUUUUUUUCUCAUGAUUAGACUGGGGUUCAGUC